rnacentral:rRNA from 1 species
UGCAGUCGUACGAGAACGCUCUAGCUUGCUAGAGCAAGUAAAGUGGCGCACGGGUGAGUAACGCGUGGGUAAUCUACCUUCGAAUUGGGGAUAACGUUGCGAAAGCGACGCUAAUACCGAAUAACAUCCAUUUAUCUUCGGAUUUUUGGAUCAAGGGUGGCCUCUACAUGUAAGCUAUUGUUUGGAGAUGAGCCCGCGUACCAUUAGCUUGUUGGUGGGGUAACGGCCUACCAAGGCAACGAUGGUUAGCUGGUCUGAGAGGAUGAUCAGCCACACUGGAACUGACACACGGUCCAGACUCCUACGGGAGGCAGCAGUGAGGAAUUUUGCGCAAUGGGGGAAACCCUGACGCAGCAACGCCGCGUGAGUGAUGAAGGCCUUCGGGUCGUAAAGCUCUGUCAAGUGGGAAGAACCUAUGCAGUGUUAACAUCACUGUGUACUGACGGUACCACUGAAGGAAGCACCGGCUAACUCCGUGCCAGCAGCCGCGGUAAUACGGGGGGUGCAAGCGUUAUUCGGAAUCAUUGGGCGUAAAGAGCACGUAGGCGGCCUGGUAAGUCAGAUGUGAAAGCCCGGGGCUUAACCCCGGAAGUGCAUUUGAUACUGUCAGGCUUGAGUAUGGGAGAGGGAAGUGGAAUUCCUGGUGUAGAGGUGAAAUUCGUAGAUAUCAGGAGGAACACCGGUGGCGAAGGCGACUUCCUGGACCAAUACUGACGCUGAUGCAGUCGUAUGCAGUCGUAUGCAGUCGUAAGAUA